rnacentral:tRNA from 1 species
GCCUCGGUAGCUUAGAUGGUAGAGCGCUUAUUCAGUAAGUAAGUGGUCGUUGGUUCAAUUCCAACCUGGGGCU